GUGUUUGCUUUGGCAACACAUAUAUUAAAAUUAGAACAAUACAGAGGUUAGCAUGACCCCUGCACAGAGAUCACAUGCAAAUUCAUGAAGUACUCCUUUUUUUU